AACGCGAGCGCCAAAAGCGGAACUAAUGUGACGCAACGUUCUACACGGGUAAAUUAGUGCAGCGCACCCAAACACAUUAGGAACUUAAUCAUAUUCAGGGAUGCAAACAUCGCACUUUUUUCACAUCAGUUUGGGUGACUUGGGUCCUGAUUUUAAUUUCUCAAAGUCAUCUGAAGCAAUUCCAUAGCUUAAUGUUAUGAACAGAAGACUAUUUACAUCAUUAAAUUAAAGUUUACGGAAACCUUGUUUUCCCUCCUCUGCGGCUGUAAAUCAUUCUCCAUUCAGUAAAUAGCGCGCACCUCGUCCAUUUACAGCAGGAUGCAUGGCCUUCAGGGAGGCAGAUCACCUGAUAUUCAGAGGACUCCAGUCUCAGCUGUUCCUCUGUUUUCUCCGAAUCCCCAUGAAGGGUCGCUGGUUUAAUGUGUUCUUCGUGUCAGAUAUGAGCUUUCUGGAGCCCUGAGGGUCAUUACAGGCGUCUUACAUCAACAUUUACUGCUAGAGUGUGAUGAAAACAGGACAGACGCUACAGAAUCCAUUCAUGCACCUGUUGACAAGAUCAGCUGCUCUUUCCAGCACAUGAAGGGUUAAAAGAUGCAUGUUUUGGCCCGUCAACACCUUCCUGAGUGAGUAAACACUCACUUUAGGAUCAAGAGUGUGGCGUGCCAAAAAUCUCAUUCACUAGAGAGGCAGUAAAUCUGUCUUACCUUCAGCCGCGGGACACAGAGACAG